CAGAACCAUGGAGCCUUUGCUGGACAUAGCGUCUGGGAUUGGAGGCGUGAGUUCCCGGUGUCUGGAAUCUGUCUUCACGGUGCAGUGAACCACUCGGGCCCGAGCAGCGGUGGCAGGCGACAGAGCAGGGAGAAGCUGGAAGCUGGAACUUAUCACCCACUAUCUCUUAACUGAGCCAGGAGCCAAUGCCCACUGUGAUCAAACUCAAUAGGAAGCUAGAUGGGAAGGGAGCUUGCUGAUGCCAUCCACACGGAUCAUCCUUGGAGGUGCAGGGCAGGGUGAAGAAGUGUGGAAGGAGGUCUGGAGAUGCUCAGAGCUGUGUCCUCCUCAAACUUUACAAUAGAGCUCAGAUCCACUCAGUCAAAUGCCAGAGAAGAAGAAAGAAGAAAGGAGACUCCUGUGGAUGCUCAGGUCCAUGUAAAAGGGCAUGAAAGAACUUCUGGCUUAGGGAAGAUGAGAUGUAGACCCAUUACUCUCUGUUCCUCUUUGUGAAGCACAGCUACAAACUCUGGAAUUAAUGCAAGAGGCAGCCAAAGGGGAACUGUGAAAGAUGUUAAGAAGAAAACUGGCUUUCAAUGCUAGAAAAGGAGGAAAUUCACAGCAGAAUACAAUCUUAUGUUCCCUUACCCAACAGAAGACAGCAACUCAGACACAACAUUCCACAACCCCUGACCCAGCGACUGAAGGAAGCUCAGUCAGGCUUAUUCCUCCCCUGGAUAGAUUAGGAGAGCUUGUGCUAUCAAUCAAGGCUAACAUAAUUGUCAAGAAACAUUAAUCAAAAGUCCCACAAAAAAUAAGUGGCCAAAGUGUUCUUCUCUGACAUGCCUAAGACUUUUCUCUGUUAUUGACAAAUAUCAAGGUGGUAGGCUAUAUCAGUAAGAGGAACUCAGGCACAAAAGUGACCUAGUUCAGGAAACCUUUUCUCUUUUGUGGGUCUGAGACUUCCCUCAUUUAUGUGAACACAUCAGGUGGCCCUGCCUGAGUAACCACCUACUACCCUCUCAGCCAGCACCAACAAGUACCAGGGAAGCUUCAGUAGCAAAGAUAAACCAAGCACAGCAAAAUAAUACUGCAAUAACUUUGAAAAUUAAAGUGUUUUUGGAACCACACUCCAUAAAAAUAGUACAGGACCUUUAUGUGAACUUGAAACAGCAUGAUUACUUGCUAAAAUAAGAUUUGAAUGAGACCCUGAGUAUUCUAAUAUAACAAACAAAAUGACCAGGAUGCAAAAGAAAAUCAUCUGUCAUACAAAAAAAAAAAAAACCAGAAAA
ensembl:lncRNA novel transcript